rnacentral:rRNA from 1 species
GACAGAGGCCCCAAGCGUUAGGCGGAAUCACUGGGCUUAAAGCGUGUGUAGGCGGAUCGUUAAGUGUCUUGUGAAAUCCCACGGCUCACCCGUGGAACUGCUGGGCAUACUGGCGAUCUUGGGCCAACUAGGGGCAGCCGGAACAAGCGGUGGAGCGGUGAAAUGCGUAGAUAUCAUUUGGAACGCCAAUGGUGAAAACAGGUAGCUGGGGCUGUGCUGACGCUGAGACACGAAAGCCAGGGGAGUAAACGGG